GCGGCCAGAUUUCCUUCGCGCUCUCGCCGGCCGGGGUUUCCUCUCUCCAGCCGGUAGCCGCCGGCCGAGUCCGUGAUUGUGCUCCCUCCCGGCGCAUGCGUCGUGGACCCGGGGCUCCGCGGCCGGUCGGGCUCUGCACUCGCCCCUCCCCUCGCGGCCGUCUUCCCCGGAGCGUCCGGGCGCGCAUGCGACUUUCCCCGUUAGGCAGCCCCGAGCCGCGCCGCGCCGCGCGGAGCUGCGCCACGGAAUCCCAGGCGCCCGAGGAAACUCCACUCCUGCGGGCCGGCGUGUGCUCGUUCUGCAGCCGCAGAGGGAAGCGGGGAUGCCCCGGGGUCCCCUCCCCCCCCCACGCAGGCCGGGAGGCGGGGCCUGGCGGAGGGUGCGGCCGCCCGCAGAGGUUUGGGAGGCUCUGGGCUCCCUGGGAUGCAGCGCUCUCUUCCUGUGGGAGCCACCGGCCCGACGAGGGCCUCGGUCUCUUGAAAAGCAAAGAGCUUAACUGACGCCAAGUUAAACUUCUCCAACCCGACUUGGAACAGGUCGGCUUCCUCUCCUGGAGGUGCGUCGACUGCGGGGGACUCGGUUUCCCCGCCGCUCCCUGUAGGUGGGCAUGGGCAACCCAAGUGACCUCGGCUGCAAAAGGUCGGAAUGUGUUUGCUCCUUUUAUGAAAAGAUAAGAGACAACAGUAAAAGAUGAGGGUGGCUCCCAGGAUGAACAGGGACCCUAGAUUACACUGGUUUCGUGGCCGCUGCACCCUAAUUAUUGGGGGAAAAAAAGCCUUUAGACCCUCCCCCCCCCAGUUCCUAGUAAUUUCUUUUAAAAAAUCAAUUUGGACAUGAAACAGAAGGCAGUAAAUAAACCUGUACUCUUUAGCUCCAAAAUCCUCUCUCCAGGGUUAUGUCCAGUAAGAAUGAAACAAAUUCUUGGUGUAUACACAGAAUAAAAGAACUUCAAAACCGGAGAAUUUGGGUGCGUACUCUCCGAGAAGGCUGAAAAAAGAGAAUCUUCAAAUUCCCGGCUAAUCUGGGCUUCGUAGCCAGACUCUGUCCCGAGAACUUUUCCUUGGUGCCUGUUUUGUUACUUCGCCAUUGAAAGGCUCUUACUGCACAUUUUGUUCAGAAUCCAGCUGCUGCUCUGGGUCAUUUUAGUUGAAUUCACCCAUUCUCCAUUCAUUCCCUGUGGUCCAGGCAGGACACUUCGCAGUUACUACCAAGAAGGACUGCUUUCCAAUGGACUUGAAUCUGGAAGAAUAAAGCCUUUCCAUGUGUGACUAAUGAAAAAGAAGGCACCUCGAAGGGGGAAAAAAAAAAAAAAAAAGCAGAUUCAAAGGGGGAAGUGUAGCCUAGAGGCUUGAUGUCCGACUUUAGGGGCUAGAUUGAUUCCUCAGGAAGUUUCAGUUAAAGUAAUAAAUACACUCCUGAAUGUAUUUUCUUUAUUGCUUAAACCAAUGAGAGCUUUUUUGUCACAGACUACUUAGCGUCUUGAUCACUGGUAGUAAAAAAAAAAAAAAAAAAAGAAGUAGGUUAAUCAUGCUGAUGAAGUUCCUAGGUUGCAGCCAGACAAGGGAGCCUGAAUACUUUUCCUAGGUUGAAUGUUUCAGUUUUAGUCUAGAGGAAGUCCUUUUUUACAUUCAAUCUUCUCUAGUACAUACAUCUUCAAAAUGACCUUUGCCCCCUUUAAUGAUUUCAUUGUCCUUUUAGUUACCUAUGACUCCUCACAUUCUGUGUUUAAUUAUUUACCAAGACCUGAUGAAAAUCCCGUGAUUUUUCUGCUCAGUCCUCUGCCACGGUUUGAGUAUUUCCCACAGAAACCUGCUCCUUCAGCCAUGGUCAAAGUUGUGAAAAGUGGAUCUUCGAUGGCCGUCUCUAACUUCACACUCAAGCAUGUCACGUAAGAAGAGUAUGGAAUACUUGGAAGCAUCAUUCAUUGAAACCAUGUUGCACUGUGGCUGCCUCCUCUUCUUCAUCCUCGCGUGUGUGUGUGUGUGUGUGUGUGUGUGUGUGUGUGUGUGUGUGUGUACUAAGGAUCAAAAAACUCUACCCCUCAACUACAUCUCCAGCUAUUGGCUCUUUCUAAGACAAGUCUCAAUAAAGUAUGUAGCCCA
rnacentral:lncRNA from 1 species